GUCCCUGUAGCGCAAUGGAUAGCGCGUUGGACUUCUAAUCCAAAGGUCAUGGGUUCGAAUCCCUACUGGGAUG